rnacentral:rRNA from 1 species
CCAAUAGCGUAUAUUAAAGUUGUUGCAGUUAAAAAGCUCGUAGUUGAAUUUCGGGAUCAAUCUAUCGGUCGUGCAAUAGUACGUACUGAUUUUAUUGAUUCCUCUCUUCUGAAGAACUAUGAUGUCAUUAAUUUGGUGUCAUAGGGAAUCAGGACUGUUACUUUGAAAAAAUUAGAGUGUUUAAAGCAGGCUCACGCUUGAAUACAUUAGCAUGGAAUAACGAAAUAGGACGUUUGAUUCUAUUUUGUUGGUUUCUAGGAUCGACGUAAUGAUUAAUAGGGGUAGUUGGGGGCAUUAGUAUUCAAUUGUCAGAGGUGAAAUUCUUGGAUUUAUUGAAGACUAACUACUGCGAAAGCAUUUGCCAAGGAUGUUUUCAUUAAUCAAGAACGAAAGUUAGGGGAUCGAAGACGAUCAGAUACCGUCGUAGUCUUAACCAUAAACUAUGCCGACUAGGGAUCGGAUGAUGUUAAAUUAAUGACUCAUUCGGCGCCUUACG